AGAUUGUAAGCUCAGAGGUAGAGCGACAGAUUUAAUGCGGACGGUGGGUUCGAGUCCCAUCACAAUCUA
rnacentral:tRNA from 2 species